UUUCCGUAGGUGAACCUGCGGAAGGAUCAUUACUGAGUGAGGGCCCUCUGGGUCCAACCUCCCACCCGUGUUUAUUAUACCUUGUUGCUUCGGUGAGCCCGCCUCACGGCCGGCGGGGGGCAUCUGCCCCCGGGGCCGCGCCCACCGAAGACACCUAGAACUCUGUAUGAAGAUUGCAGUCUGAGCAAAAACUAAAUAAGUUAAAACUUUCAACAACGGAUCUCUUGGUUCCG
rnacentral:misc_RNA from 1 species